GAUGAACGCUGGCGGCGUGCUUAACACAUGCAAGUCGAACGAAGCACUUUACUUGAUUUUCUUUCGGAACUGAUUGUAUUGUGACUGAGUGGCGGACGGGUGAGUAACGCGUGGAUAACCUGCCUCACACAGGGGAUAACAGUUGGAAACGGCUGCUAAUACCGCAUAAGCGCACAGCACCGCAUGGUACAGUGUGAAAAACUCCGGUGGUGUGAGAUGGAUCCGCGUCUGAUUAGCCAGUUGGCGGGUAACGGCCACCAAGCGACGAUCAGUAGCGACCUGAGAGGGUGACCGGCACAUUGGGACUGAGACACGGCCCAAAAC
rnacentral:rRNA from 1 species